rnacentral:rRNA from 1 species
GGGCCCGCACAAGCAGUGGAGCAUGUGGUUUAAUUCGACGAUACGCGAAGAACCUUACCAGGACUUGACAUCCGCAGAAUUUCUAGAGAUAGAAAAGUGCUCGCAAGAGAACUGCGUGACAGGUGGUGCAUGGCUGUCGUCAGCUCGUGUCGUGAGAUGUUGGGUUAAGUCCCGCAACGAGCGCAACCCUCGUCUUGUGUUGCCAGCACUUCGGGUGGGAACUCACAAGAUACUGCCUGUGGAAAGCAGGAGGAAGGUGAGGACGACGUCAAGUCAUCAUGCCCCUUACGUCCUGGGGCUACACACAUGCUACAAUGGCCGGUACAAUGAGCUGCUAAACCGCAAGGUCAUGCG